CCUACGGGAGGCAGCAGUGGGGAAUAUUGCACAAUGGGGGAAACCCUGAUGCAGCAACGCCGCGUGAAGGAAGACGGUUUUCGGAUUGGAAAAUUCUGUUCUUAGUGAAGAAUAAUGGCGGUAGCUAAGGAGCAAGCCACGGCUAACUACUUGCCAGCAGCCAAGGUAAUACGUAGGUGGCAAGCGUUGUCCGGAAUUACUGGGGGUAAAGGGAGCGCAGGGGGGAAGCCAAUUCAGCUGUGAAAACUACGGGCUUAACUUGUAGCCCGCAGUUGAAACUGGUUUUCUUGAGUGAAGUAGAGGUUGGCGGAAUUCCGGGUGUAGCGGUGAAAUGCGUAGAUAUUCGGAGGAACACCGGUGGCGAAGGCGGCGAACUGGGCUUUAACUGACGCUGAGGCUCGAAAGUGUGGGGAGCAAACAGGAUUAGAUACCCUGGUAGUC
rnacentral:rRNA from 1 species